GACGAACGCUGGCGGCGUGCUUAACACAUGCAAGUCGAACGGAAAGGCCCUGCUUUUGUGGGGUGCUCGAGUGGCGAACGGGUGAGUAACACGUGAGUAACCUGCCCUUGACUUUGGGAUAACUUCAGAAAACUGGGGCUAAUACCGGAUAGGAGCUCCUGCUGCAUGGUGGGGGUUGGAAAGUUUCGGCGGUGGGGGAUGGACUCGCGGCUUAUCAGCUUGUUGGUGGGGUAGUGGCUUACCAAGGCUUUGACGGGUAGCCGGCCUGAGAGGGUGACCGGCCACAUUGGGACUGAGAGACGGCCCAGACUCCUACGGGAGGCAGCAGUGGGGAAUAUUGCACAAUGGGCGGAAGCCUGAUGCAGCAACGCCGCGUGCGGGAUGACGGCCUUCGGGUUGUAAACCGCUUUCGCCUGUGACGAAGCGUGAGUGACGGUAAUGGGUAAAGAAGCACCGGCUAACUACGUG
rnacentral:rRNA from 1 species